AUUAAACGCUGGCGGCAUGCCUUACACAUGCAAGUCGAACGGCAGCACGGGGGCAACCCUGGUGGCGAGUGGCGGACGGGUGAGUAAAGCAUCGGAACGUAUCCUGGAGUGGGGGAUAACGUAGCGAAAGUUACGCUAAUACCGCAUAUUCUGUGAGCAGGAAAGCAGGGGAUCGCAAGACCUUGCGCUCUGGGAGCGGCCGAUGUCGGAUUAGCUAGUUGGUGGGGUAAAGGCCUACCAAGGCGACGAUCCGUAGCGGGUCUGAGAGGAUGAUCCGCCACACUGGGACUGAGACACGGCCCAGACUCCUACGGGAGGCAGCAGUGGGGAAUUUUGGACAAUGGGCGGAAGCCUGAUCCAGCCAUGCCGCGUGAGUGAAGAAGGCC
rnacentral:rRNA from 1 species